AUCUACUUCACCUUGCAGACUACAGUUGUGUGAUGUGAUUGCUGGCAAGAGAGAGAAGGGUAAACAGUCCUGUGUCAGCCAAUUUUAUUUUUACUCGGGGAACCAGUCACAAAUUGGUCAUGGUUGUAAACUUGAGCAUUAAGCUGGAACAUUGUUCUGAGUGAUUUAUGCAUCUUUUAAUGUAAAACAUUGUUUGCUGCAUGCACAUGUGAAAUGUAUACCAUCACUUCAGAGCAACAUAAGCCAAGUCUUAUUCCCUGCUGUGCGCGUGAACACUGUUGACACUUCUUUUUCACCACAGCACGAGAGAUGUGCAACUUACAUCAGACAGCAACAACCUCCAACUUGCAAGACGUUACAAGAAAACAACUCGUCGGCUUGAAAAGGCCUCGGCACGGAAUGAAAAAGAAAAAGGUACUAGAGACACAAUGGUUUGCUCUGACAAGAUGGUAUCAGUGUAAAGACAGAUGGGUUCACAUCUUGUUUGAAGAAGUAUCUGUGACAGAACAAGACGGCUGCUCGCAAGUGAACUUGUGAAAUGCUUGGACUGAGUAAUCCUCUAAUGCAGGUUCUGUGUACCAUGACGGCAUGGAAUAUUAAUGCAAAAGAUGCUGGAGAUUUGAAGAGAAAGCAGAAAACUGAGUCCUAGAAUCAAGCCAAUUACUACUGCAAAGAGGCCACGGCCAACACCAAAGUGCAAGCAGAGCCUAUAAUACCAAAGGAUGAAGGAUUUAGGGAAAUAAAUCACAAGGCUAAAUAAAACCUGAAAUAUUCUCACAGAAAAUGAUUUCACCAGACACAAAUUGUUGCAGAAAAACUUCAAUAAAAUCCACUGUUUCCAUGCUAACAGAAUAAAAGGCAUCUAUGUAAUUCGGUAAUUGUAAAAGUCAUGGUAUGACAUAUAUUCCAGUCCUCUGUACCAGUGAUACCUGUCAGUUGUUGAUAAACUGCAACCCCCAGCAUUCCAAUAAAAGCCAAAAGAUGGACUGCAGUAAGUUGACUUUAA